CAAUAGCGUAUAUUAAAGUUGUUGCGGUUAAAACGCUCGUAGUUGGAUUUCUGUUGAGGGCAGCCGGUCCGCACUUCGUGCGUGUAUCUGGUUUGACCUCGGCAUCCUCUCAAAAUACGUUUCUGUGCUUGAUUGCGUGGAGCGGAGUUUGAGACUUUUACUUUGAGGAAAUUAGAGUGUUCACGGCAGGCAAUCGCCUUGAAUAUAUUAGCAUGGAAUAAUAAUAUAGGAUCUUGGUUCUAUUUUGUUGGUUUCUAGAGCUAAGAUAAUGAUUAAUAGGGACAAUUGGGGGCAUUCGUAUUAACGCGUCAGAGGUGGAAUUCUUGGAUUGCGUUACGACGAACUACUGCGAAAGCAUUUGCCAAGGAUGUUUUCAUUGA
rnacentral:rRNA from 1 species